rnacentral:rRNA from 1 species
UACGUAGGGUGCAAGCGUUGUCCGGAAUUAUUGGGCGUAAAGAGCUCGUAGGCGGCUUGUCGCGUCGGCUGUGAAAACUCGGGGCUCAACCCCGAGCCUGCAGUCGAUACGGGCAGGCUAGAGUCCGGCAGGGGAGACUGGAAUUCCUGGUGUAGCGGUGAAAUGCGCAGAUAUCAGGAGGAACACCGGUGGCGAAGGCGGUUCUCUGGGCAUGUCCUGACGCUGAGGAGCGAAAGCGUGGGGAGCGAACAGG